rnacentral:rRNA from 1 species
AACGAACGCUGGCGGCAUGCCUAACACAUGCAAGUCGAACGAGACCUUCGGGUCUAGUGGCGCACGGGUGCGUAACGCGUGGGAACCUGCCGUUAGGUUCGGAAUAACUCAGAGAAAUUUGAGCUAAUAUCGGCUGAUGUCUUCUGACCAAAGAUUUAUCACCUUUAGAUGGGCCCGCGUUGGAUUAGCUAGUUGGUGGGGUAAAGGCCUACCAAGGCGAGGGUCCAUAGCUGGUCUGAGAGGAUGAUCAGCCACACUGGGACUGAGACACGGCGCAGACUCCUACGCGAGGGAGCAGUGGGGAAUAUUGGACAAUGGGGGAAAGGAUGAUCCAGCAAUGGCGCGUGAGUGAUGAAGGCCUGAGGGUAGUAAAGCUCUUUUACCCGAGAUGAUAAUGACAGUACCGGGAGAAUAAGCACCGGCUAACUCCGUG